UACGGAAGGCAGCAGUGGGGAAUAUUGCACAAUGGGCGCAAGCCUGAUGCAGCCAUGCCGCGUGUAUGAAAAAGGCCUUCGGGUUGUAAAGUACUUUCAGUCGUGAGGAAGGUGUUAAGGUUAAUAACCUUAGCAAUUGACGUUAGCGACAGAAGAAGCACCGGCUAACUCCGUGCCAGCAGCCGCGGUAAUACGGAGGGUGCGAGCGUUAAUCGGAAUUACUGGGCUAAAGGGCACGCAGGCGGUUAAUUAAGUUGGAUGUGAAAUCCCCGGGCUUAACCUGGGAAUGGCAUUCAAGACUGGUUAGCUAGAGUCUUGUAGAGGGGGUAGAAUUCCAUGUGUAGCGGUGAAAUGCGUAGAGAUGUGGAGGAAUACCGGUGGCGAAGGCGGCCCCUGGACAAAGGACUGACGCUCAUGUGCGAAAGCGUGGGGAGCAAACAGGGAUUAGAUACCCGU
rnacentral:rRNA from 1 species